rnacentral:rRNA from 1 species
AGUGAACGCUGGCGGUAGGCCUAACACAUGCAAGUCGAACGGCAGCACAGGAGAGCUUGCUCUCUGGGUGGCGAGUGGCGGACGGGUGAGGAAUACAUCGGAAUCUACUCCGUCGUGGGGGAUAACGUAGGGAAACUUACGCUAAUACCGCAUACGACCUACGGGUGAAAGCAGGGGAUCUUCGGACCUUGCGCGAUUGAAUGAGCCGAUGUCGGAUUAGCUAGUUGGCGGGGGAAAGGCCCACCAAGGCGACGAGCCGUAGCUGGUCUGAGAGGAUGAGCAGCCACACUGGAACUGAGACACGGUCCAGACUCCUACGGGAGGCAGCAGUGGGGAAGAUUGGACAAUGGGCGCAAGCCUGAUCCAGCCAUACCGCGUGGGUGAAGAAGGCCUUCGGGUUGUAAAGCCCUUUUGUUGGGAAAGAAAUCCAGCUGGCUAAUACCCGGUUGGGAUGACGGUACCCAAAGAAUAAGCACCGGCUAACUUCGUGCCAGCCGCCGCCGUAA